rnacentral:rRNA from 1 species
GAUGAACGCUGGCGGCGUGCUUAACACAUGCAAGUCGAACGAUGAAGCCCAGCUUGCUGGGUGGAUUAGUGGCGAACGGGUGAGUAACACGUGAGUAACCUGCCCUUGACUCUGGGAUAAGCCUGGGAAACUGGGUCUAAUACUGGAUAUGACUUCUCAUCGCAUGGUGGGGGGUGGAAAGAUUUAUUGGUCUUGGAUGGACUCGCGGCCUAUCAGCUUGUUGGUGAGGUAAUGGCUCACCAAGGCGACGACGGGUAGCCGGCCUGAGAGGGUGACCGGCCACACUGGGACUGAGACACGGCCCAGACUCCUACGGGAGGCAGCAGUGGGGAAUAUUGCACAAUGGGCGCAAGCCUGAUGCAGCGACGCCGCGUGAGGGAUGACGGCCUUCGGGUUGUAAACCUCUUUCAGUAGGGAAGAAGCGAGAGUGACGGUACCUGCAGAAGAAGCGCCGGCUAACCACGUG